UUACGUUCAUAUCACGUUGAAACUACGAUUUUCGUAAGAUCACUGAAGUUAAGCAACGUCGAGACCGAUUAGUACCGAGGUGGGUGAACGCCUUGGAAUAUCAGGUCCUGUAAG